AUUGAACGCUGGCGGCAUGCCUUACACAUGCAAGUCGAACGGCAGCAUGGAGAGCUUGCUCUCUGAUGGCGAGUGGCGAACGGGUGAGUAAAGCAUCGGAACGUACCGUGUAGUGGGGGAUAACGUAGCGAAAGUUACGCUAAUACCGCAUACGCACUGAGGUGGAAAGCAGGGGAUCGUAAGACCUUGCGCUAUACGAGCGGCCGAUGUCAGAUUAGGUAGUUGGUAGGGUAAAGGCCUACCAAGGCGACGAGCUGUAGCGGGUCUGAGAGGAGGAUCGGCCACACUGGGACGGAGACACGGACCAGACUCCUACGGGAGGCAGCAGUGGGAAUUUUUGGACAAGGGGGGCAACCCUGAUCCAGCAAUGCCGCUUGAGUGAAAAAGGCCUUCGGGUUGUAAAGCUCUUUCGGCCGGGAAGAAAUCGCACAGGCUAAUACCCUGUGUGGAUGACGGUACCGGCAUAAGAAGCACCGGCUAACUACGUGCCAGCAGCCGCCGUAA
rnacentral:rRNA from 1 species